rnacentral:rRNA from 1 species
CAUGUCUUUUUGAACAAUAAUUUAAAGUYUAAUCUGCUCCAUGAUUAAAUNUUAAAUAGCUGCAGUAUAUUAACUGUACAAAGGUAGCAUAAUCAAUAGUUUUUUAAUUAAAAGCUGGAAUGAAUGAUUUUAUAAGGUAAAUAUUGUCUCAAUUUUAAUAAUAUUAAAAAUUUUUUUUUUAGUAAAAAUACUAAAUUGAAUUUAAAAGACGAGAAGACCCUAUAGAUUUUUAUAUUUAAAUAUUUAGUUAAUUUAAAUAAAAAUUUAUUAAUUAAGUAUUUAAUUAUUUGGUUGGGGAAAUUAUUAAAUUAACAAAAUUUUAAUUUAUAAUAAACAAAAAUUAUUGAAAUUUUGAUCUUUAUUUUAAAAAUAAAAGAAUAAAUUACCUUAGGGAUAACAGCGUAAUUUUUUUAAAGAGAUCAUAUUGAUAAAAAAGUUUGCGACCUCGAUGUUGAAUUAAGAUAAAAUUUUAAUGAAGAAGUUAAAAAUUUUUGGUCUGUUCGACCAUUAAAAUCUUACGUGAUC